UAUUUCAGUGUACAAAUUACAUAAAAUUCGAAUAUUUAUAUAGUUGGUAGCUAUAUUAUGAAGUUAUCAAUAUACAAAAAGCCCACUUGACUAACUGAUCGUUGUUAAUCCUUAAUUUGACAUAGUAUGUGAUAAGGUUCUUGGGUUUAUUUAUUUAUUUAUUUAUUUAUUAUUAAUAAUGAUAAUAAUAAUGGAUAUUUGUUCGUUUAAUCAAAAAGAACAAGUGAGUAUCUACCCAUGUGGUUGGCUUUUGUUUUGUUGCCACUGAUUGUUUGGCCAAUGUUACUUCUUCACCUCUAUGUUUCUUUGUCUUUCUGAAUGAUUUCUCAUUAAUUCCAAAAGAAACCCUCUGAACAUCAAUUAAGAACUGUCUUCAAUAAUCAAUUGAAGUCGAUGAAAUUUCAGGUAAUGAAUCUUCUUGUCUUUACAGCUUUUACUUUGCUUUUUUUUUUUUUUUUUUGGGAUCUUUUUCGGACAAGAUUAUUUAUAUGAUUGAUUUUUUUUUUGUCUUGUCUGAAAUUGGAUUAAACUUUUUUCCAAACUUGUGUAGUUUUUAACUCUUAUCUGAAAAUUCACAGGUUCUUGGCUUUUCAAGGGCAGAAUGAUUGGUGAAUGUUGACUUGAAAAGCUAUAACCG
rnacentral:lncRNA from 1 species